CUAAGACGUUAGUGUGCAAAAUAAGGAAAAACUUCCUUGUGUAAUAACUAAAAAUGAGAGGUAUUUUUAAAAGUUGUGUUUUAUGUCUACAGAGUAUCACAACAAAUGCUUAAGCAGUUUCAAUAUUAUUGUACUUCACACUUUUCAUCUGAAGAGUUACAUACUUUAGCCAGAGAACCAAGCAUUAUAUAUGGUGUGCAAAGAAAACAGACGCAGGUUAGUAAAUAAACCCACAAGUUAACUGUCCCUGACACAUGGCAAUGGAUCCAAGCCCUGCCCGGGAGCAUCCUGUUCUAACCCACAAACAACAUUUCCUCAAGAGGUAUUAUUUCUUUACUAAAGGACAUGCUCUUAAAAAAAAAAAAAAAAAAAAAGUUUAAGAGUUAAGCAUUAAGGGUUUUAUUUUCUAAGCUAAUAUGUAAUGAAUAAGAUAGCGAAGAUUACUGCACACAUCAUGUGUUUAAUAUAUACUUAAACACUUCUUUCUUUCCACCAAACCAAUUCACAUUUUUCCCCAUUUCUCCCCUUGAGUUAUCAUCAACUAUGUACAAUAAUCCUUUAAUCCUCCUUCUAUUUCAUUUAGAAAGUAAAUCCCUUACAUCUGAAAUGAAAGAAGCAUUGUCACUGUUCACCAUUACGUACUUUAUUCAUGGAGGUUUUAAAGUACCAGAGACAAAAUAUUGGUAAAUUUGUAGAAAAUGUGACAUUUAUAGAAGCGAAAUCCAAGACAUAGCUGCAAUUUUAGGAGCUCUGAAAAUUGAAAGAAGUGAAACUGCAAGUCCUGUUACCCAUUCAAGUGAGGAAGGGUUCUCCAUCAAUAACCAAGUCAUAUUGUACUUGACUGUCUACCAAUGCCACUUCCAGAAGGAAAAAUAACUCUGCAUCUAAUUAGUAUGGUGAUAGACUCAAAUACAAAGGCAUUCUUUUACCAAAAAUUGCAGUACUUCCAUAAUGAGAAGUUUUUGCAAAGGUCCUCACAUCAACAGUACAGACUG